rnacentral:lncRNA from 1 species
CAGUCCAAAACCCAAAAACUUGGAGGUGCUGGUCACUUUUUGCCACCAAGUGCCAUCUUUGUGAGCUCUAUCAAAACAACGUGAAUUUGCAGGUGCAAGUCCCUAUAAAACCCUGGAAAAGUUUGCAAAUUCAAUCCAUUUCAAACCCUAAUAAACUAUAUCAAAACAACGUGAAUUUGCAGGUGCAAGUCCCUAUAAAACCCUGGAAAAGUUUGCAAAUUCAAUCCAUUUCAAACCCUAAUAAACUAUAUCAAAACAACGUGAAUUUGCAGGUGCAAGUCCCUAUAAAACCCUGGAAAAGUUUGCAAAUUCAAUCCAUUUUAAACCCUAACAAACUAUGCUUCAACCCCAUCAAUUCCAUGCUCGAUUUCAACUGCAACACAGCGGACGGCUUAGCUAAAAGUUCUGGGGAAAAUGGUUCGAUAAAGCUGCAGCCCUAUCAAUAUAAAUAAACCCUCAUCUCAUAGCUCAUUUGCAAUUCAAGUAUUGAAAAACCUUUUAUACUAAUCAUCUCGGCUGAUUGUUAAAAAAAAUUAGAAAUUCAAGCUCUAAAAUUAAUG